CUCGAAAGAGUGACGGCGUACCUUUUGUAUAAUGGGUCAGCGACUUACGUUCAGUUGCGAGCUUAACCGAAUAGGGUAGGCGUAGGGAAACCGAGUCUGAUAAGGGCGUUUAGUAGCUGGGCGUAGACCCGAAACCGGAUGAUCUAGUCAUGGCCAGGAUGAAGGUGGGGUAACACCUACUGGAGGUCCGAACCGACUGUUGUUGCAAAAACAGCGGAUGAGUUGUGACUAGGGGUGAAAGGCUAAACAAAUCCGGAGAUAGCUGGUUCUCCUCGAAAACUAUUGAGGUAGUGCCUCGUGUAUAUCCACUGGGGGUAGAGCACUGUAAUGGCUAGGGGGACAUGUAGUCUUACCAAACCAUAGCAAACUCCGAAUACCAGUGAGAGUGAGCACGGGAGACAGUCCUCGGGUGCUAACGUCCGAGGGCAAGAGGGAAACAACCCAGACCGCCAGCUAAGGUCCCC
rnacentral:rRNA from 1 species